rnacentral:rRNA from 1 species
AUGUUGAUGCAAGACUACUUCGUCGACAGUCCUACCUAUCCGCCGCACCUCUUCCGGAGAAGGUAUCGAAUGCGCCGAUCUCUCUUUGUAAAAAUUGUGCAAGCUUGCGAGGCCAAUUCUCGGUUUUUUACUCAAAGGAGAAACGCCGCGGGCUUGUUGGGUUUUAGUGCAUAUCAAAAAAAUCUCCACAGCUAUGUGGGUGAUUGCAUAUGGCAUUCCGGUUGA